rnacentral:tRNA from 1 species
GCACGGAUGGCCGAGUGGUCUAACGAUAAGGUGUCAGAUUCAAGUGUGUUCUUACCGCGAUGGAGCGACUGGGUGUUCCGGCAGUAUUAAGGGUGCGUGGGUUCAAAUCACACUCCGUGCA